GCCUGGAUGGCUCAGUUGGUUAAGUGUCUGACUUCGGCUCAGGUCAGGAUCUCAGGAUUCGUGAGUUCGAGUCCCGUGUCGGGCU
rfam:Felis catus isolate Cinnamon breed Abyssinian chromosome D3, whole genome shotgun sequence.